rnacentral:miRNA from 14 species
ACCUGGCCAAUAUUAUGUAAUA